GUACUCAUUUUAGCAGCACAAUCAUUGUAGUUAGAAAAACACAGAAAAGAUUAGCAUGGCCUUUAUGUGGGGAUGACAUUCAAAUAUGCAAAACCACCUUCUAUUU